ACGAACGCUGGCGGCGUGCCUAACACAUGCAAGUUGAGCGACGAACCAGGGCUUGCCCUGGGGCAAAGCAGCGAACGGGUGAGUAACACGUGGGUAACCUACCCCGAUAACCGGGACAACCCGAGGAAACUCGGGCUAAUACCGGAUGUGCUCACUGGACUUCGGUUCAGUGCGUAAAGGAAGCUUCGGCCUCCGUAUCGGGAGGGGCCCGCGGCCCAUUAGUUUGUUGGUGAGGUAACGGCUCACCAAGACCGCGAUGGGUAGCUGGUCUGAGAGGACGAUCAGCCACACUGGGACUGAGACACGGCCCAGACUCCUACGGGAGGCAGCAGUGGGGAAUCUUGCGCAAUGCGCGAAAGCGUGACGCAGCAACGCCGCGUGGGGGAAGAAGGCCUUCGGGUUGUAAACCCCUUUCAGGAGGGACGAAGGUGCGGCGGUGAAUAGCCGUCCGGACUGACGGUACCUCCACAAGAAGCCCCGGCUAACUACGUG
rnacentral:rRNA from 1 species